rnacentral:rRNA from 1 species
AGGGUUUGAUUCUGGCUCAGGAUGAACGCUGGCGGCGUGCUUAACACAUGCAAGUCGAGCGAAGCAAUUUAAGUGAAGUUUUCGGAUGGAUCUUAAAUUGACUGAGCGGCGGACGGGUGAGUAACGCGUGGAUAACCUGCCUCACACAGGGGGAUAACAGUUAGAAAUGACUGCUAAUACCGCAUAAGCGCACGGUACCGCAUGGUACAGUGUGAAAAACUCCGGUGGUGUGAGAUGGAUCCGCGUCUGAUUAGGUAGUUGGUGAGGUAACGGCCCACCAAGCCGACGAUCAGUAGCCGACCUGAGAGGGUGACCGGCCACAUUGGGACUGAGACACGGCCCAA